rnacentral:rRNA from 1 species
UACGGAGGGUGCAAACGUUGCUCGGAAUCAUUGGGCGUAAAGCGCGUGUAGGCGGUCUGUUAAGUCGGAUGUGAAAUCCCUGGGCUCAACUGAGGAAGUGCGUUCGAUACUGGCAGACUAGAGUACGGGAGAGGAUAGUGGAAUUCCCGGUGUAGAGGUGAAAUUCGUAGAUAUCGGGAGGAACACCAGUGGCGAAGGCGGCUAUCCGGACCGAUACUGACGCUGAGACGCGAAAGCGUGGGUAGCAAACAGG